rnacentral:rRNA from 1 species
ACGAAUGCUGGCUGCGUGCUUAACACAUGCAAGUCGAACGGUGAAGGAGGGCUUGCCCUCCGGAUCAGUGGCGAACGGGUGAGUAACACGUGGGCAACCUGCCCCUCACUCUGGGAUAACGCCGGGAAACCGGCGCUAAUACCGGAUACGACCAGAAGCGACAUCUCUUCUGGUGGAAAGAAUUUCGGUGAGGGAUGGGCCCGCGGCCUAUCAGCUAGUUGGUGAGGUAACGGCCCACCAAGGCGACGACGGGUAGCCGGCCUGAGAGGGCGACCGGCCACACUGGGACUGAGACACGGCCCAGACUCCUACGGGAGGCAGCAGUGGGGAAUAUUGCGCAAUGGGCGAAAGCCUGACGCAGCGACGCAGCGUGAGGGACGAAGGCCUUCGGGUUGUAAACCUCUUUCAGCGGGGACGAAGCGAAAGUGACGGUACCCGCAGAAGAAGCACCGGCUAACUACGU